UACGAAGGGGGCUAGCGUUGCUCGGAAUUACUGGGCGUAAAGCGCACGUAGGCGGCUUUCUAAGUCGGGGGUGAAAUCCUGGAGCUCAACUCCAGAACUGCCUUCGAUACUGGCGAUCUUGAGUCUGGGAGAGGUGAGUGGAACUCCGAGUGUAGAGGUGAAAUUCGUAGAUAUUCGGAAGAACACCAGUGGCGAAGGCGGCUCACUGGCCCGGUACUGACGCUGAGGUGCGAAAGCGUGGGGAGCAAACAGG
rnacentral:rRNA from 1 species